ACUCCUACGGGAGGCAGCAGUGGGGAAUAUUGCACAAUGGGGGAAACCCUGAUGCAGCCAUGCCGCGUGUGUGAAGAAGGCCUUCGGGUUGUAAAGCACUUUCAGUUGUGAGGAAAGGUUGGUAGUUAAUACCUGCCAGCUGUGACGUUAACAACAGAAGAAGCACCGGCUAACUCCGUGCCAGCAGCCGCGGUAAUACGGAGGGUGCGAGCGUUAAUCGGAAUUACUGGGCGUAAAGCGCACGCAGGCGGCUUGUUAAGCUAGAGGUGAAAGCCCUGCGCUCAACGUGGGAACUGCCUUUAGAACUGGCAGGCUAGAGUCUUGGAGAGGGGAGUGGAAUUCCAGGUGUAGCGGUGAAAUGCGUAGAUAUCUGGAGGAACAUCAGUGGCGAAGGCGGCUCCCUGGACAGAUACUGACACUCAGAUGCGAAAGCGUGGGGAGCAAACAGGAUUAGAUACCCUGGUAGGAUAG
rnacentral:rRNA from 1 species